rnacentral:rRNA from 1 species
UAGUCCACGCCCUAAACGAUGAAUACUAGAUGUUUGGUGCCAAGCGUACUGAGUGUCGUAGCUAACGCGAUAAGUAUUCCGCCUGGGAAGUACGGCCGCAAGGUUAAAACUCAAAGGAAUUGACGGGUGCCCGCACAAGCGGUGGAGCAUGUGGUUUAAUUCGAUGCAACGCGAAGAACCUUACCUGGGCUUGACAUGUCUGGAAUCCUGCAGAGAUGCGGGAGUGCCCUUCGGGGAAUCAGAACACAGGUGCUGCAUGGCUGUCGUCAGCUCGUGUCGUGAGAUGUUGGGUUAAGUCCCGCAACGAGCGCAACCCUUGUCCUUAGUUGCCAGCGGUUCGGCCGGGCACUCUAGGGAGACUGCCGGUGACAAACCGGAGGAAGGUGGGGAUGACGUCAAGUCCUCAUGGCCUUUAUGUCCAGGGCUACACACGUGCUACAAUGGCGCGUACAGAGGGAAGCCAAGCCGCGAGGUGGAGCAGACCCCAGAAAGCGCGUCGUAGUUCGGAUUGCAGUCUGCAACUCGACUGCAUGAAGUCGGAAUCGCUAGUAAUCGCGGAUCAGCAUGCCGCGGUGAUACGUUCCCGGGC